GACGAACGCUGGCGGCGUGCUUAACACAUGCAAGUCGAACGGAAAGGCCCUGCUUUUGUGGGGUGCUCGAGUGGCGAACGGGUGAGUAACACGUGAGUAACCUGCCCUUGACUUUGGGAUAACUUCAGGAAACUGGGGCUAAUACCGGAUAGGGGUCCCUCCUCCAUGGUGGGGGUGGGAAAGUUUCGGCGGUUGGGGAUGGACUCGCGGCUUAUCAGCUUGUUGGUGGGGUAGUGGCUUACCAAGGCUUUGACGGGUAGCCGGCCUGAGAGGGUGACCGGCCACAUUGGGACUGAGAUACGGCCCAGACUCCUACGGGAGGCAGCAGUGGGGAAUAUUGCACAAUGGGCGGAAGCCUGAUGCAGCAACGCCGCGUGCGGGAUGACGGCCUUCGGGUUGUAAACCGCUUUCGCCUGUGACGAAGCGUGAGUGACGGUAAUGGGUAAAGAAGCACCGGCUAACUACGUG
rnacentral:rRNA from 1 species